GCGCACGUGGUGGAAUUGGUAGACACGCUAGCUUGAGGGGCUAGUGGGAGCAAUCUCGUGGAGGUUCGAGUCCUCUCGUGCGCA
rnacentral:tRNA from 1 species